UACGGGGGGAGCAAGCGUUGUUCGGAUUUACUGGGCGUAAAGGGCGCGUAGGCGGUCGUGACAAGUCACUUGUGAAAUCUCCGGGCUUAACUCGGAACGGUCAAGUGAUACUGUCGGACUAGAGUACAGAAGGGGGCAACUGGAAUUCUCGGUGUAGCGGUGAAAUGCGUAGAUAUCGAGAGGAACACCUGCGGCGAAGGCGGGUUGCUGGGCUGAUACUGACGUGAGGCGCGAAAGCCAGGGGAGCGAACGGG
rnacentral:rRNA from 1 species